rnacentral:rRNA from 1 species
AAAAAAGGUAAGCUACUAAGAGCGAAUGGUGGAUGCCUUGACUGGUAAAGGCGAUGAAGGACGUACUAGACUGCGAUAAGCUACGGGGAGCUGUCAAGAAGCUUUGAUCCGUAGAUUUCCGAAUGGGGCAACCCAAUGUAUAGAGAUAUACAUUACCUAUAUAGGAGCGAACGAGGGGAAUUGAAACAUCUUAGUACCCUCAGGAAAAGAAAUCAAUAGAGAUUGUGUCAGUAGCGGCGAGCGAAAGCGCAAGAGGGCAAACCCAGUGCUUGCACUGGGGGUUGUAGGACUGCAAUGUGCAAGAGCUGAGUUUAGCAGAACAUUCUGGAAAGUAUAGCCAUAGAGGGUGAUAGUCCCGUAUGCGAAAAACAAAGCUUAGCUAGCAGUAUCCUGAGUAGGGCGGGACACGAGGAAUCCUGUCUGAAUCCGGGUCGACCACGAUCCAACCCUAAAUACUAAUACCAGAUCGAUAGUGCACAAGUACCGUGAGGGAAAGGUGAAAAGAACUGAGGUGAUCAGAGUGAAAUAGAACCUGAAACCAUUUGCUUACAAUCAUUCAGAGCACUAUGUAGCAAUACAGUGUGAUGGACUGCCUUUUGCAUAAUGAGCCUGCGAGUUGUGGUGUCUGGCAAGGUUAAGCAAACGCGAAGCCGUAGCGAAAGCGAGUCUGAAUAGGGCGCUUAGUCAGAUGCUGCAGACCCGAAACGAAGUGAUCUAUCCAUGAGCAAGUUGAAGCUAGUGUAAGAACUAGUGGAGGACUGAACCCAUAGGCGUUGAAAAGCCCCGGGAUGACUUGUGGAUAGGGGUGAAAGGCCAAUCAAACUUCGUGAUAGCUGGUUCUCUCCGAAAUAUAUUUAGGUAUAGCGUUGUGUCGUAAUAUAAGGGGGUAGAGCACUGAAUGGGCUAGGGCAUACACCAAUGUACCAAACCCUAUCAAACUCCGAAUACCUUAUAUGUAAUCACAGCAGUCAGGCGGCGAGUGAUAAAAUCCGUCGUCAAGAGGGAAACAACCCAGACUACCAGCUAAGGUCCCUAAAUCUUACUUAAGUGGAAAACGAUGUGAAGUUACUUAAACAACCAGGAGGUUGGCUUAGAAGCAGCCAUCCUUUAAAGAAAGCGUAAUAGCUCACUGGUCUAGUGAUUUUGCGCGGAAAAUAUAACGGGGCUAAAGUAAGUACCGAAGCUGUAGACUUGCGCACAACUUAGAUUAUUUAAGUUUAGAAUAUGAGAAACUAAGUUAUAUUUUUACUGAUUUUUAUAGAGUAAAGAUAGAAAUAAAACUUAGUAAAAUCAGUAAAAAUAUUCUUAGGCUAAAGUUAAGUAGUUUAAGUUGUGUGCAAGUGGUAGGAGAGCGUUCUAUUUGCGUCGAAGGUAUACCGGUAAGGAGUGCUGGAGCGAAUAGAAGUGAGCAUGCAGGCAUGAGUAGCGAUAAUUAAUGUGAGAAUCAUUAACGCCGUAAACCCAAGGUUUCCUACGCGAUGCUCGUCAUCGUAGGGUUAGUCGGGUCCUAAGUCGAGUCCGAAAGGGGUAGACGAUGGCAAAUUGGUUA